rnacentral:lncRNA from 1 species
CAUGUGACAUAUUGACAUAUAUGAUCAAAAUCACCUUCAUUAUGCACUUCCUAUGGGGUUGAGGUAGCAGAUAGGAUCAGCGUUACUAAUCUCACUAGUCCUAUGUCAUUGAAUUGUUGUUGCGACAAAUUAACAAGUCCUUGAUAUUGCCCUUGACUCAUCCCAAAGACAAUGUCAUCUUGUCGUUUUUCAUGUUGCACAAGUUGGUGAUUGUUAUGUCCGCCUUCUUCAUGCACAUAAGCAACCAUAGCAAAAUUUAUUAGUUCAUUCCUUGUGAAUUGGAAAUUACCAGGGAUUCAUGCAAUCUAUAACAUGUCUUCCUAGUGUGCCCACUUUUCUUGCAAUGCACACAAAAUUUUCCUAAAUUUGCACCUCUAUUCUAAGAACUUUUAUCACCACAUGAGGCAAUCACUCAUUCUAUAGAAAAUC